ncrna:Schistosoma mansoni type-P1 twister ribozyme
CCUUCAACUCCGCCUGUAUCUUCUCCGGGGGCUACUGCCGGUCCCAAGCCCGGAUAAAGGAAGAGGGUUGG